AGAAGGCAUUACUAAAUGCAUCCGUCCCAGAGCACACUGGCUCCAAAAGAAGCUGGAGAAAGACAAUAUAAAGUGUGUUCCACUACUGCGUGCUCGUUACAGGAAUCUCUUCUAGUCUUUACAAAGGAAAGGACAAGCGACCUGCACAGAACACUUUUAUUUAUCUGUUUAUCUUUAAGUUGGGCAUUAUGUUCAUUGUUAUACCAAUUGUUUAAGCAGUAUUAAGCUGGUGAUCAAACAAAACAGCUGCAAACAAAAAUAAUUUAAUUUAAUUUAUAAUAUUAAUUUAUUGACAUAUUUUAAGGACUGCCUGUCAUUGUCAUUUUUAUUACAUACUAUUAUUUAUUAUUUAUUGGUUUAUGUUUGUUGUAUUACUGUAAUAAAUGAAAUAUUUGUUAAGAU